UAGGGAAUCUUCCGCAAUGGACGCAAGUCUGACGGAGCAACGCCGCGUGAGUGAAGAAGGUUUUCGGAUCGUAAAGCUCUGUUGUUAGAGAAGAACAAGUGCUAGAGUAACUGUUAGCGCCUUGACGGUAUCUAACCAGAAAGCCACGGCUAACUACGUGCCAGCAGCCGCGGUAAUACGUAGGUGGCAAGCGUUGUCCGGAUUUAUUGGGCGUAAAGCGAGCGCAGGCGGUUCCUUAAGUCUGAUGUGAAAGCCCCCGGCUCAACCGGGGAGGGUCAUUGGAAACUGGGGAACUUGAGUGCAGAAGAGGAGAGUGGAAUUCCAUGUGUAGCGGUGAAAUGCGUAGAUAUAUGGAGGAACACCAGUGGCGAAGGCGACUCUCUGGUCUGUAACUGACGCUGAGGCUCGAAAGCGUGGGUAGCAAACAGGAUUAGAUACCCUGGUAGUCCACGCCGUAAACGAUGAGUGCUAAGUGUUGGAGGGUUUCCGCCCUUCAGUGCUGCAGUUAACGCAUUAAGCACUCCGCCUGGGGAGUACGACCGCAAGGUUG
rnacentral:rRNA from 1 species